AGAAUCAACGCUGGCGGCGUGCCUAACACAUGCAAGUCGAACGCGGUUACCCCGCAAGGGGUAACUGAGUGGCAAACGGGUGAGUAACGCGUGGGUGACCUACCUUCGAGUGGGGGAUAACGUUUCGAAAGGAACGCUAAUACCGCAUGACAUCCUGCCUUUGGACAGGCGGAGAUCAAAGCCGGGGAUCGCAAGACCUGGCGCUUGAAGAGGGGCCCGCGUCCGAUUAGCUAGUUGGUGGGGUAACGGCUCACCAAGGCGACGAUC
rnacentral:rRNA from 1 species